UACGUAGGUGGCAAGCGUUGUCCGGAAUUAUUGGGCGUAAAGAGCUUGUAGGCGGUUUGUCGCGUCUGCUGUGAAAAUCCGGGGCUCAACCCCGGACUUGCAGUGGGUACGGGCAGACUGGAGUGUGGUAGGGGAGACUGGAAUUCCUGGUGUAGCGGUGGAAUGCGCAGAUAUCAGGAAGAACACCCGUGGCGAAGGCGGUUCUCUGGGACGGUACUGACGCUGAGACGCGAAAGCGUGGAGAGCGAACAGG
rnacentral:rRNA from 1 species